UUACGGGAGGCAGCAGUGGGGAAUCUUGCGCAAUGGGCGAAAGCCUGACGCAGCAACGCCGCGUGCGGGAUGAAGGCCCUCGGGUUGUAAACCGCUUUCAGUGGGGACGAACCAAGACGGUACCCACAGAAGAAGCCCCGGCCAACUACGUGCCAGCAGCCGCGGUAACACGUAGGGGGCGAGCGUUGUCCGGAUUCAUUGGGCGUAAAGAGCUCGUAGGCGGUUCGAUAAGUCGGGUGUGAAACCUCCAGGCUCAACCUGGAGACGCCACCCGAUACUGUCGUGACUAGAGUCCAGUAGGGGAGCGUGGAAUUCCUGGUGUAGCGGUGAAAUGCGCAGAUAUCAGGAGGAACACCAGCGGCGAAGGCGGCGCUCUGGGCUGGAACUGACGCUGAGGAGCGAAAGCGUGGGGAGCGAACAGGAUUAGAUACCCGUGUAGUC
rnacentral:rRNA from 1 species